GUGUGCCAUGCAGCUGCAACGGGCUCUCCGAUGAGUGUGAUGAGCGUACAGGGAACUGUGUGAAAUGUCAGUUCGACACUGCAGGAAAUCGCUGUGAACGUUGCAAGGAGGGUUAUUUUGAAGAUCCAGUGAACAGAACCUGUCGUGCCUGUCCAUGUCCCUUUACAGAGAACAAUUUUGCACUGGCCUGCCUUGAUGUUGGCUCAGGAGUGGUGGAAUGUUUGUGUAAACAUGGUUACAGUGGAGUCAGAUG